rnacentral:lncRNA from 9 species
AUGCAACACUCCAGACCCUGAGCGCUGGGCCCUGAAAUCGGGCAAGACACUGUUCAUGGCUGAUUGUUUUACACGUGGUAAGAAAGGGCCCCCGUGUGAAACUAGACUGAAAUCUCUUUUGCUUCAAGUUCUGUACUGUUCCUCACUUCCUCUUCUUUACCGGAAUGACUCUCUUUAAACUCACCGAUAAGCCCUUGGCUCCACUAUGUCUUCGCAUUCUUUGCUCUGUUUGGUCCUUUGUGUGUCCCCCCCACAGCCCCCCCACAUGAAAUCAACUAAGUCGGAACCUGCGAACAGUCCGGCUGUCAGGCUGGUCCACCGAUGAUGCUUUGUUAGACUUUUACAGUGUAUUUUUAAACGGUGUCUUUGUUACACACAGGAUAUCAGGAGAUUCUACGUAAUUAGCCUCUCUUUAGAAUUCUCUCAAAAUAUCAGGACGCCUGGCAAGCCAGCGCAUUUUCCCUCAGGGCAGCGAGUAGCUGAAGCUGCCUCUUUCGUCUUAGGACUGGUCAGAUUCGCUGAUUUAUUUCCUCCCUGAAGCCCCGGGAUGGGACCACGAUGCAGAGGAGUGACCAGAGGACCUCGGACAGUAAGUUGCUGCACCAUCUGGAGGAGGGGACAGAGGUCGCUUCGCAUCUGGACACCAAGGGACCUUGCGGCUGGCGUUGGGGACGGGAAACCCCAAGCCGUGAUCUGUGUGGAUGGACGGGGGACCAAGCAGGCAGCACUGGAUGCCAAAGAGUGAACACGUGGUGGCCAAGAUUGGAAGCCCCCAGAGCCUCAGCGUCACCAGGGAAUGGAAUGAGGACAGGAGCACAUUGGGUCGUGGUAUCCAAAGCGUUCAAAGUUGUUUCUGAAGAGGAGCCCAGGCCAUUGCUACCGAGGAGAAACCCAAGCUGCAAAACAGAGAGGAGGAAACACAAGAUAUUACCUGUGACGCGAGAGGAGGGAACACUUUCUUCGGGCACAGAAAUCCCUCCGCUUUUGCUCGAGAAGCAAAUACAGACUCUAAGCUGGCUGCAAAGGCUGCCGGGCUGA